CAGAAUUCUAACUAUUCAAUCAUUUCUGGUUAUUUUUUUGUCAGCUGUGCCAGUUUUGCCAUUCUGACCGAUUAAUUUUGAUUGCACAGGAAGCAUGUCUACUUAUGGCAGCUGCACUUGACCUAGAGCAAGGGAGAAAAGCUUCAACAACUGCUGAACAGUUACUGAAUCGUGCACUUAAGCAGACUCAGGAAUGCAAAGGCAUCUGGAAUCUCCUGAAACAAACAGGUGGGACCUUUAAGAAAUGUCAUGUGAUGUGCUCCACCAUGUUAUCAAACAAGAGGACCUGCAUCAGAUACAGCCCUUCAAUUUUAUAGUGGCCAGUUUCCAAAAUUGUGAGAAAUAAAUUCUUCUUCACUAUCCAGUCUAUGGUAUUCUGUUAUGGAAGUAGAAAAAAAUGACUAAGACACUGCUUUUGCCUACCUUUGAAUAUCCAAUGCCUACUAUACACACACACACACACACACACACACACACACACACACACACACACGCAGAGAUAAUGUCCUAGAGGGAUAGACAGAAAAAUUUACUUUUGCUACUUCUUGGGGCAGGAAUUAGUAACUUUGGGG
rnacentral:lncRNA from 1 species